CUUUUUAAGCUGCCGACGAGGGACGUCGUCCGUGGCCGCAGCGUGUCCAGACAAUGGCACGACAUCCUCACCGACCCUUCCUUCCUCGACAUCCACGCCAACAAUGCACACAUCUUCCCCGACACCGGUGGUGCGGCCGAGUCAUUGGCCAUCUCGGAGAUCCGUGGCGGGGGCACUGGCUUCGAGAUGACCAUCCUAAACUCCGCCUCAUCAAAGCCCAUGUCCCGCGUUGCCAACCUACCCGCUGGCUACUUCCCCUCCAACGUUUGCAACGGUUUCCUCCUCCUCGCUUCUGGUGUCAAGGACUGGCCUUUGUUUGUGUGCAACCCCAUCACCGGCACGAUGCUCAAGGUCCUGGCGCCGCACGGUCCCGGCGACGAUUAUGAGGACAUGUACCACUCCACAGACAACAUCACGUACGCUAUGGCGUUCAGCCCGUCCACCCGUCAGUACAAGCUCUUCCGCCUUUGCUCCCGGGAUGCCAUUGCUAUUCCCGAGACGUGGGCCAACUAUUUGGAUGUGUGCACUCUGGGCGACCCUAACGGUAGAGGGUGGCGCCGACACCCGUGCAUGUUCCGGUAUGGUAUUGUAUUUGGCCUCCACUCGCCGCCGCCAGCGCUCGUUGAUGGCAAGCUGUACGUGGUGACACAGCGUCCGCAGCACUACCGGGUGCCUGACAGGAUGCUGGUCAUCGACGUUGCCAGCGAGACGCACGAGACGUACCGCCUCCCGGUGGACUCCAUCUUGGGGGAUGCCGUGGUGGUGCAUCCCUUCGAUCUGCGUGGCCAGUUGUGCGUGGCAGUGCGUGUCGCCAGCCGACGACAGCUCUCGUUCUGGGUUCUGUCGCCCCACGACAGUGAAGGUGAUCGGCUGCAUGGCUGGGAGGUGCUAUACACCUUUCACAUGAACGAAGAUGGCAGGGAUAAGCCGAGUGGUGCCUGGUUUGACACUUGCGACGGCAUGCUAUGCUACAAGUUAGGCAACCAAAUCUAUAUGCACGACACCACCAGGGACAAGCAGCAAAAGGCUGCAGGUUGUUUCUCGGAGUGGGAUCAUUGGAUGCAGUUGCCCGCGGCACCCAAGCACCAGCAGUGGAGCGUCUAUGGCGGCUACCGUCCCAGCCUGCUCUCACCUCGUCUCGCCUUCGCCAUUCCAUCGUCGCUGCAGUGCCAUGAUGAACAAGAGCACUUCGAGCGUGAGUUGAUAAAUCCUCUACGAUGCCACCAACAAUCAUCGAAGAAGCGACGCUCUACC
rnacentral:rRNA from 1 species